AGAAAUUACAGGUACUUCUAACGCUCCACUUAUCGGCGGUGUUGUCGGUUCUGUGGUAGUUGUCGUUAUCGUGACAGUCAUCAUUGUUGUAUUUCUGAGGAGAAGAAAGAGAUCAAGAGCUAAGAACAAAACUGAUGAUAUAAUUGUCCCAGAAAAUGAUACAAAGAUAAAAGAAAGAAAGCAUAGUGCAGCUGAAGGACCUGUCUACGUCAAUGCAAGCAAUUCAAUUGAAAACCUUGAAGUAAAUGAGACUAACGCCAGUGACGUAGUACCAGUCGUGGAUGGAGGAGAGCCUGAAGACCAACAGACUGACGAGGAGGAGGAGGUCCAGGAUCCCAACACGUACUACAAUGCUGCCCAACCAGCUCCUCCUCCGUUCAAUCUGCCAGAAGAAGGUUUUGACGUCUCAGACCUUGAAGGUAUAAUAGAGAGCAUCAGGAAUCAGCCUGGAGGAUUUGAUGCAGAAUAUCUCAAACUACCAAGUGGAUUCAAGCAUCCAUAUACCGAUUCACAGAUUCCAGAUAACAGGUGCAAGAACCGAUUUGCUGGUUACUAUCCAU